rnacentral:lncRNA from 1 species
GUAUUCUGCACGGACUGCUGGGCAGCACUAGCACUCUGGAGAAGGUCUGCCGCUGUCUGCACUUUCCUGGUUCUAUGCAGGCAGAUGAGUGUCACAGCUGUAACUGAGGCACAGAGCAGUACACACAGUGGAGCCGAUUUCCGCGAUGGCGAGAGGGGGCACCGGAGGUGACAACAAUAACAAGACUGUCCUUCGGACAAGUUUUAGCGCUGAAUAUCUUCAGGAAAAUGGGUUCCAUGAGAAGUGACAUCCUCCUCGAAUCAAAAGGAAGAAUGACUUGGGCAAUACCAAAUGUUGAGUUAUCAAGUAUUUCGAUACCCAUAUGCAUCAUCUGCUGUAAGUAUUCUCAGGAUGAUGGAGUGAGUGAUGGAAUAGGUUGCCAACUGUAGUUACUCCACUCAGCACAGAAUGGCUGCGGGGAAAUAUAAUCAGACAUGCCCAAAGAAGUCUGCUUAGGGUGAAACAAAUACCUUUGAGGUUUAAAUCAGAAAGGAAGGAGAGACUGUUUCUACAGGUGUCAUACAAAAAUCAAUACUGAGCCAAGGAUUAUUGGAUCCCAUAGAACCACGGAGACUUGGUAGUGAAAUUCUUCCAAAGGCAGAUGGUGUUCCUAGGUUUGGAAAUAUAAAUCCCAUGGGAAGUCAGCUGAAGACCAUUUUAUGCAUCACUCAUCCUGUUAGAGCCCUGUGCUGUUCUGUCUCUCUAUAAGACUGGCUGAAACCACCACGGUUGUUUACAAUUUAUGCUCUAACUUUGGAUCACCUAGUUAAUACUCUAACUCCGAUUAUUACCAAAGACAAUGUUCUAUAAAAGAUAUUGUCUAUUAGAAGGAUGCUUCUGCAUUAUUAAUAAAAUCACAGGGAAAAUGCAACAUUUUGGAUGUCACAUCUGAUAAGUGGGUGACUGAUCGUACCCGCCAGCUGGCUAAUGUCAUAAUUAACAAAGUUGCUACUACAUCUGCAAAGUUUAAUCGAAAAAUUUGCCAGUGAUAUGAUGGCCUUGUCACAGAGAUCACAAGGGACACGGAGUUGACUUUUGCUCAAGGUGGAACGACAGAGCUGUGUAGGCAAGAUGAGAAAUUGCGAACUUGUUCGGCCAAAGGAACGACUAUGCUCUGGAGAGUCCUGUAAUUUGCAGAAAAUGGACCAAGAUAACAUUUGAGUUCCAUGCUACCAAAAUCCUCUUGAGAAGGACAGCUAGCUACCCAGAAUAUUUAACAUUGUGACAUUGAAAUGUUGGAUGAACGAUUAAAAUGAAGAAUCUAGUCAUAGGUUGUAAGAAAUCGCUAAAUUAUUAUGUUUAAUCCAAAGAAGAGAAAGGAAAAGCUGUUUUCAUUCCCCCCAGCCUCUGAGGAGGCUAAUAAUGAAGGGGCCGGGAAGGAGGCCAGUGCUACCAGGGUUAUCUCACAACCUCAGAUGCUGGAUAAGUCGACGGAGGCAGAAUCGCUUUGGGAUGACAUUCAGAAAGCCUGGAGUGAUUACUUGCAAGAGAAAAGCCUACCUAUUCUUUCCAAGGUGCAGGAAUAUUCCCCUGACCUGCUCAUCCAGUGGUCCAGUAAUGAAUUACUGGAGACCUGCCUUAGACAAAGAAUGCACUCGGAGCCCCAACACACCUAAAGCCAUGCUUUGAAGGAUCUGCCAAGCUCACUUUUAAUCAUGAGAAAGAAAUUACCCACACGGAGUCAGCAGAAAAUGAGAAAGUAGAGCUCGUGCUGUGAAUAAUUCCAGCAAGUGCCAAGGGGCUAGUUGAGGAAUGGCUUCAUGAGAACAUGCUCUAGGGGAACUAUUAAUAGCCCACCAGUCGGGUAGGCAGCAUUCAAUCCUUCUAUGCCUUCUUUCGCCACCUGUUGAGGUCUUUCUUCUGAAACAAAGAAGAAAUAGACAAAUCAGACUUGCCCUCUUGGAAAUGUGGUCCAGAUUUCUCUACUCCCAAGCUCCAAAAAAGGUAUACAUUGGAUGGGCUAGAUCAACUCCUCCUGAGAGCCAUAAAUCCGCCAAGAGUUGUUUUCCAUGUAAGGGUGUGGUACAAUGGGGAACACCUGAUGUUGGAGGAAAGCAGGAGGACUUUAGAGUGGAGUUGCAUUCUAAUCUCUCUGCCGCUUCAACUAUGUGACCUGGGGCAAAUGAUAUAAACUCUAUGAGCCUCUUUCCUUAUCUUUAAAAUGAAGAGAAGUAAUACCUACCUUGUAGGGCUGUUGUGAGGAUUAAAUGAAGUAAUGCAUACAGUGCCUAACAAAGUAUUUAACAUCAUAUUUUUUAAAAGCUCAUGAAAUAUUAGUUUUUCUUCCUUCCCCUCUUUCUAUUUUCUCUCCUGUUCCCUUUUCUCUCCCUCCUCUGCCCUCUCCUUCCUUCAGAUGUUAGUCUAAAACAGCACCUUGGAUCUAAGCAGCACCUUUGAGAAAGAAAAGACUGCUUCAAGAAUGUCUAGUUGCACCUCCUUUCCGUAUGUGGCCUAAAUGCCUAGGUUGGAUCAAUAGUUUAAUUUUUUUAUUGAACUGUUUAAUAUUGACUAUGGACUUACAUUCACUUUUACUGUUUUCUGUAUAUUUACUUUUGCUUGAAGUGUUUUAAUAUUGACUAUUUACCUCUGCUCAUUUUUAUUGAUUUUCUGUAUUUUUUCAAUGAAAAUUAUAAUAAAAAUUAUUUUUGUUA